GUAUCCCCUCUGUAGGCCUCGCAUCUGCCUGCCUCUCGUUCCCUCUCUAAAUCAUGAAAAAUCCCCAAAAAUCCCUAGCUUUCUUCCCUUUCAAUUUCCGACGAGAUUACCGCCUGAACCACCCUCUUCUUCUUCAGUCGACAGCAACGGUCAGCCGUACCGCCGUCAUCCUCCCUCAUCUCUCAAGCCUCUAUCACCGUCUCCCUCUCGACUCCGAUGAGCAGCCGCUAUGAAUCCCCGCCGCCUUCACCGCUUCCCUCCAUACUAAUAUAAAGAUUCGAUUUUUCCUCUUUCCCUUCCAUUUCUUCACUCGAGCUCCAUCCCUGCUCUCCAACAAGACUUCACUCAAAAGGGUAUGUGGAUAUCAACUCUUCCUUUCUGAAUUAAUGAAUCAAUUGGUAGUUAGAUCGUUUAUUGAAGAAAUGGUUCGAAAUCUUGAUUUUGAUGGGAAACCCUUGAAUUGUUGCUGCCAGUUCAAUUGCCCCUUUUUAAGCUGUUGGAUCUUCGUGUUUGUGGCCGAUUAACCCUAAUCUAUCUGUGUAAGAAUUUAGAUGGAUUAUUACCUGUUGUGGGCAGGAAAUGAUUUGGAUGCCCAUAAAUGUGCUAAUCUUACUUGUUUUUUGAUCUUUUUGUGAUGUUAUUCGAGAUGAUAAUGAAGUAUGUUGUCAAAAUAAGUUCUUACUAGUGUGUAUCUAGCUGGAGAGUCAGUUUGUACUAGUUAAUUGCAAAUUAUGUUGGUUAAUGAUAACUAGAUAUCUCUAGUAAUGGUCCAAUAUUUAGUGAAGAACCUGUAUCCUCUGUGACAAUUAGUUUGAAUGUUAAGAUACUUUAGCAUUUGACAUUCUAUUUUUAUUGAGUUAUCCUUUAAAUUUGUAGGUUAGUUUAGAUGAGAUUCAUGUCAAGAUUAAUGGAAAAUUAUUCUGAUUUUGUUGUGUUAUGGUGCUCCUAAUUUCUUACAUGUAGAUUUAUUGGCUCUCUGUUAUAAUUCCAUCUUUUCCUUUAUGAAAUUGAAAAUUUAUGAUUGGAUUGGAUAGGAUAGGAAUCAUGAUUGUAUUCAAAAUUAAUUAAUAAUGCAGGUCACAUCAUUUUAUAGUUACUGGUUAGGGUUUACAACAGUACUGGAAUUCUUUUGGGCGGAUCAAUAUGAUGCUAUGGCUGGCCCAAACAGGAAGUGACAUUGGUUACUUGUCAGCAGAUGAUGGAGUGAGUAAAUUACAGGAGCAAUUUGAGGGAGGGCUUGGUAUUCAAGAAGACGAUAGUGAUGAUGGGCAGAAUGAGUUCAGUGGAGCAGUGGAGUUUGAGGAUCGUAAAGAUUUCAGUGGAAGGAAUGGAGUGGCCGAAGGAAUGGGACCAGAGGUAAAAGAUGAUGACGACAAUGAUGAUGGUGAUGAGGUGAGUAUCUUUGAAAAUGUUGUCAUUACUAUUUUUGAUAGAUCUAAUGAAUAUGGAAAGCUCGGUCAAAGAUGCUUGAGUAUGUGAUUGUUGUUGAGAUAAUAUUUGGUUGAGUGUAGGCACAAAGUGAGCUAGAUGAGGAUCAUUGCUAGUUGACUUGUAGGCACUAUGUUGUAUCACAAGCUAGUAAAUCUACUUUCUUAUUAGCCUUGUGUCAAUUAAAAGUCAUUUAGCUAGAGAACAUUUGAGGAGUGAGCUAUCUAUUCUACGACAGCAUGAACUAACAAAAAAAAAUGUAGAAACCAAGAACUUCUUAAUUAAUUAAAUACUUUAGAUAUUUUUUGAUUGUUGCCAUACAAGUUUAAUGAUGAUUGGUAUGCGCGGUGCUUCUCAAGUGUUCAGUUCAAAUUUUGUACUAUUACGUAAUUUGAGUUAAGAAGAUAGUCCUUUAUGCUUGAGUUUUAUGGGAUUUGUGGCUGAAAUCUUCCAGAAACUGCUAUUGUAUGUCACUGUGGUAUAAUUUUUAGUAUAGGUUUUGUUAGAUUUGCUUUAUUAGCUGCAGUUUAUAAUAGUACGAGAAAUCCAAUCGCUCACAAUUAUCUUGCCACCAUAUGAAGCAGGGAUCUGGACAUUUGUAGUUAACUUUUUAAUAAUUUGAUAUGUGAAGUGUUUAUCCUAUCUGCACUAUAAUAGCUUUUCCUAGACUAAGAUGAUUGGUCUUCCUUAAUUCCUUAAUUUACUAUCUGCACUAUAAUAGCUUUGUCUAUGUGGAAAGCCUACACUUUUUAGAAUUGAGGUUUCUGAUGCUUCAUAGUAUACUUACUAAACUGCUCGUGCAUGAGUUUUUUGAGGAACAUGCUUUCUUUUUCUUUCUUUCUUUUUUACUCGAUUUCUUUGUAUAAUAAUGAAAUACUUGUUUACUUUUUCUUUCUUUUUUACUCGAUUUCGGUCAAGCUUUAUUAGUUGAAAUGCAUCUCAAUGCAGGAAACAUGGAUAAAGAGGAACAGGGUGUUUACUGUUUUAUUAGCUUCAUUUUUGAUGAAAUAGACAAUAUAUAGCUGUAACUUGUAAACCCUCUCUUUCAGAAUUAGAAUUAUAGUAGGCUCUUACAGUUCUAUGACCCGAAAGAUGUAUAUUUACUCUUCUUUAUGUCCUGUAAUGCAAGAUACUGGUUUCAGUGUUGCUGCAAGUUACUUAAACGAUACUCCUGCUCUGAAGAAGGCUGAUAUUGGAAGUGCCGUUCCUUUUCAGAUCGUCGUUCGUCUGUCCGUCGGCAACUCACGCACACCGCACACGGUAAGCCCUCUCUUUCAGAAUUAGAAUUACAGUAGUCUUUUUCUUAUGUUUUUGGAAUUAGAAUUACAGAUUUGCUUGAAUUUGUUUCGAAUUUUACUCUGUUAUUGUAGUUGGGUACAAGGAAUAUAGCUUAGUUUCAUCUUCUUUGCUAAACUUAAUCAUGUGAAGCUUUUAUUAUUAAAUGAAAUAUAAAGUAUUUUCAUAGGACUAGCAGAUAGCUUGAAAUUUGAUAUUUUGGUACUUUGAUUUGGUAUCUAUUUUUUUAUAUUCAUAGCUCUGAUUUCAUGAAGCAUAGAUGGUGUGUAUGAUUUUUAGUUGUCAUUCUAGCUAGGCAUUGACAUUGAACAACGUGAUGAAAUCUUGAAACCAAAUUGCCAUGUUUUGCAGGUGAACUCGGGUUGGCUAUGUUUUGCAGGUGAACUCGCUCGUGUUGGUGGAGGGUAAUCUUCUUCUCAUUUUAACAAUAUAGAUAGAAUAUUGAGAUCUUGAAGAUUACUUAUGUGUUUUUUGUAAAACCUUUUACCAAAAUAUUGAAUCCAAACCAAUGUCUUGCUUUUGAGAAAAUCAUUCAUCAUAUUUAUAUAUCUAUCAAAUUUGAUUUAGAUUCUGCAUUCUAUUAUAUUACUAUGCAUCAAUAUUUGAUAUAACUCACAUGUUGCCGGAUUUUUUUAAUUCUCCAGCUCAUUAGUGUAAUUGAGUUUAUCAUCUUGGCGGAUCAAGUAGAUGGGAGUCGAUGAGCUAUGAGGACUACUACAAAAGAGAAGGCUGAAGCAGAGAACGUCGUUUCAAAUGUCUAGCAAGUUGCGCGCAUUUGUAAUAUUUUUUAAUUAAUCAUAUAGCUAACUAGAAUAUUUGUGUUGUUUUCAUUAUAUUUGGAUGAUAAUGUAUGAAUAUUUCAGAUGUUAUAUAAUAUAUGUUAUCGAUGGCAA
rnacentral:lncRNA from 1 species